rnacentral:rRNA from 1 species
GGCAAAGCUCAAUUUGAAAUCUAGCACCUUCGGUGUUCGAGUUGUAAUUUGAAGAUGGUAACCUUGGGUUUGGCUCUUGUCUAUGUUCCUUGGAACAGGACGUCAUAAAGGGUGAGAAUCCCGUCUGAUGAGAUGCCCAUUCCUAUGUAAGGUGCUAUCGAAGAGUCGAGUUGUUUGGGAAUGCAGCUCUAAGUGGGUGGUAAAUUCCAUCUAAAGCUAAAUAUUGGCGAGAGACCGAUAGCGAACAAGUACAGUGAUGGAAAGAUGAAAAGAACUUUGAAAAGAGAGUGAAAAAGUACGUGAAAUUGUUGAAAGGGAAGGGCAUUAGAUCAGACUUGGUGUUUUACGAUUAUCUUCUCUUCUUGAGUUGUGCACUCGUAUUUCACUGGGCCAGCAUCGAUUCGGAUGGCAAGAUAAUGGCAGUUGAAUGUGGCUUCACUUCGGUGGAGUGUUAUAGCUUCUGCUGAUAUUGCCUGUCUGGAUCGAGGGCUGCGUCUUUUGACUAGGAUGCUGGCGUAAUGAUCUA